UGGUUGCUCCUUUCCCUAAAACACUGGUGUUCAAUGGGGAGCAUGUAUGAAAUGGUAGUACGUUUAUCAUGUAUGAAAUGGGUAGUACAGUGAGGUCAGUUUGAGUCCAUUUUGCAAUCCCAAUGAUGUGGGUUGAAUAGGUUUCCUUCCAAACUUUGUGUCCAGUCUGAAUUCUCAGCAUGCAACCUUAUUUGGAAGUAAAAUCUUUGUAGGUGUCAUUAGUUAAGGAUCUUGAGACAUGUCCGUCCAGGAUUUGGGGCGGGUCUUGAAUCCAAUGACUGGUGUUUUUAUAAGAGAAAAGAGAGGCAGCUUUAAACACAGAGACAUACACAGAAGAAGCCAUGUGACGACGGAGGCAGAGAUGGGAGUGAUGUGUCCACAAGCCAAGGGACGCCUGGAGCCCCCAGAAGCUGGAAGAGGCAGGAAGGACCCUCCCUUAGAGCCUCUGGAGGGAGCGCAGUUCUACUGACACCUGAUCUCAGACUUCUUGUCUCCAGGACUGGGAGAGCAUAAACUUCUGCUGUUCAUGCCACCCUGUUUGUGGUCAUUGAUUACCGCAGCCCCAGGCAACUAAUACUCCAGAUCAGAAGCACAAAACAAACAGAUGCAAGCUUUCAACACAGUUGGAAUUUGGGAACACAUGCCAUUUUAGAGGUUAUAUACGACCAUGAGAAUCAUGUCUGUUGGGGCUUCAAAAACUAAAUCAACCCAAAUAUAUAACAAAAGAAGCAUGAGAGAAGUGUGAAAAUCAAGAAUGGAGUUUUCAUUUUCUGAAUUCAAGAUUCCUCUAUUUUCAGAAGAUCAAAUGAGGAACUGUCACCUUGCAGGGAACAGCUGUUUUCUGUGGCAGAUGGGAAGAAGGGAUGUGGCCAAUGACAAUUAUCCCUUAAAGCUGCCCCGGAAUUGACACGUCUCUUUGCUCCUACCUCUUUGAAUGAACUAGUCUCAUGCCCAUGCUGACUCCAAGGGGCCAAGAGAUGCAAUCCAACCAUCUGACUGGGACGAACCAGGAAUGGUUUCUACAAGAAGAGGUGAUCAACUGAGAAAGAGAAUCAAUUAUGGCGUCUCUCUCUAGUGAUGGAGACCCGACGUAGAGAACGGAAUGGUGUUGGUGUGGAGGCAGAAAGGCGUCUUCUGAAGUGCAGUUGGGGCUGAAAUGGUUACCUGUCCACCGUGACUCUUCCAUGUCUGUCCAUGCUCCUCAUCUGUUGGGUUGAGUCACUGUGGAGAAAUGGCUAAGGCACUAGCAUCUAUGUGAGCCAGACUCUCACCUCUAACCUGGGCAUCGAGAUGGGACCAUGGGAAUGAAGGCUUGCCAACGAAGUGCACAUCGAAUUCUCACAUUUCUCUUCUGGGCCAGGUGGCAAGAUAAGAGCAUGACUUCUGUUUUUGACUGAGUUGUGUUCCCCCAAAAUCCAUAUUGUUGGAGUCCUAACCCCAGGACCUCAGAAUUUGACUGUAUUUGGAGAUGGUGUUUUUAAAGAGGUGAUUAAAGUAAAAUGAGGUCAUCAGGGCCUGAUCCAACAGCACUGGGGUCCUUAUGAGAAGUGGAGAUGAGGACACAGACACGCACAGAGGGACGACCACGUGAGGACACAGGGAGAAGACACGUCCACACGCCACGGAGAGCGGCCUCAGGAAAAACCAGCCCUGCCCUCACGUGGAUCUCAGACGUCAAGCCUCCGGGACGGUAAAACAUAAAUAUCUGUGGUUCUUGGUUAUGGCAGCCCUAGCAGGCUAAUGCACUUUCUCCAUCCUCUCUCCUCUGAUUAAAUAUCCACAUCCUGGUGAACUUGGAGGCAAGGGUUACAAAUGUCAUAGCCACAAAAUGGAAGGAUGCAGGGUCCCUGAACCAGCUCUUGAGGAGCGUGACCAGCCAACCGGAAACAGCCAUUUUGGAUUUAACAACAGCUAUUUGUUAGCAUCACUGAGAUUUUGGAUUCAUUCGUUAAAGCAGCUCAGCAUUACCCUAACAGAGUGUGUUCUCCAUGCACACAGCGCUCUGCUUUGGUCAAGUGAAGCAAGAUCUGGUGACCACGCGUGGCACACCUUUGCCAUACAUUUCCUGUCAAAACACUUUUUCCCUGUGUCCUGUGAGGGUCGUCUUCUCUGCAGGAUGACUACGUCCAGCUGUGGUGCUCGGGACCUUGGUGUUUCUGUCUGAUUAACGAGGGUUCCCGUUAAGCUGGAGUUCAGCUGUCUUCACUGCUAGACUUGCUUUGUGAGACUCUCUGAGGUUGUUAAUAAGGUAAGAUCUUUGGGUCUCAAGACAAAGAGAGAAGAUAAUUUAUUUUCUACAGAGUUUUAUUUCCUUAAGCUCUAUCUUCCAUUACAUUGUAGAGGGCGUUUCAGUAAAUGAUGUAUGAAAUUAAAAAAAAAUCUGUAUGAUUUCACAGCAAAGGGCAUGCAUAUCUAGAGAACAACUCUGAAAUGAUGUAGAAAAAUAGAUAUCUAUUUUUCUUUCUAAAAAUUAAAGGCUUAUGCUUUGGAUAAAUUUAUGUUAAUUUGCCAAACAAGAUGUGGUUAUUAUGUGCGAGGCAUUGUAUAGAUUCUCUGGUAAAUAAAGCAUGGAUUUAUUCUUAA